UACGUAGGUGGCAAGCGUUGUCCGGAAUUAUUGGGCGUAAAGCGCGCGCAGGCGGCCUCUUACGUCUGAUGUGAAAGCCCCCGGCUCAACCGGGGAGGGCCAUUGGAAACUGGGAGGCUUGAGUAUAGGAGAGAAGAGUGGAAUUCCACGUGUAGCGGUGAAAUGCGUAGAGAUGUGGAGGAACACCAGUGGCGAAGGCGACUCUUUGGCCUAUAACUGACGCUGAGGCGCGAAAGCGUGGGGAGCAAACAGG
rnacentral:rRNA from 1 species